CUCUCUUUGUCAACACAAAAGGACCAUCUAGUCUAGUAUUAGCAGGAGUGUGAGGUUGAGGAAUCCUCACUCCCUUUUCAUACCUGUUACCAACACACCUGAGGGAACAAUGGAGAGCAAGACUGGGGCUCACUUUCAGAGGUUUUAGCUCAUGUUUGGCUCCAUAUUUUUGGGCAAAACAUUACAGUAGUAGGAGUGUAAGGUAGGCGAGGUUCUUGAAUUCAUCCAGUUAGGAAGUAGAGAACAAGGAAGGGCCAGGGGACAAGCUAUGACCUUAAAAAGCAUAUCUCCAGUGACUCUCUUUCUCCAGCUAGGCCCAUAUCUCAAACUUUUCAUCAUCUCCUCAAAUAACACCAAGGUUUGGAGACCAAGUGUUCAGCACAGUAAUCUUUGAGAGCCAUUUCAGAUUCACACCAUGCCAAGAACUUUGAUGCAGAGGAAGGACCGAAGUUAAACUAGACUGUGCUUUUCUUGGGUGAAAGAAGACACUGAAUUUGCUUAGUGGCUCUCCAGAUGGUUCACACUCAAGCAGAAUAUUAUUUAGGGCUUAGCUAUGGUCAUUGAAGGAGAACACAGUGGACUGGAAACCACAGACCUCAGUUUGAGUCCUGGCUGGGCCACAUCCUAGUCCAGCCUUUGAUGAACCACCAACCCUCAUUCUCUGCAUCAUUAAAGUGGAAAGUGAUGUUCA